rnacentral:lncRNA from 1 species
CUUGCUGGCUAGGAUGUCUUCAAGGCUAGUCAUUCUCUAGAAGCUUCAACAUAUUUGAAGAGUUUUUAGGCACAAAGGAAACUUACAGAGAGGGUGCCUCUCUUGUUUGAAUGAAAGACUUGGAAGUUUCACAAUCAUUAUGACUAUAAACAGACUGGGCAAAUAAAAUGCAGUGAUGAGAGAAAGCAAGGCCCACAGAAAGGCAGGUCACCCAGCCAGCAAUGGCAAGGCAAGCUGGCUGAGAAUGCGGUACCUACGAUCAGAUGGGUCCAGUUCGAAUCCCAACUUUGCCACGUACUGGUUAAGUGCGCAAGACAAGUAACAUCAUCUCAUAAGCCCAGUUCUCCUCUGUGAAGGGGUAACAAGAGUUCUACUCUGCGUGGAUGCAGAUGUAAUGAGAUCACGUACUAAGGACCCUGAAGACUCAAAGC